rnacentral:rRNA from 1 species
UACGGAGGGUGCGAGCGUUAUCCGGAAUUACUGGGUUUAAAGGGUGCGUAGGCGGCCCUGUAAGUCAGGAGUGAAAGUUUGCGGCUCAACCGUAAAGUUGCUUUUGAUACUGCGGGGCUAGAAUUAGGAUGAGGUCAGCGGAAUGUGGCAUGUAGCGGUGAAAUGCAUAGAUAUGCCAUAGAACACCAAUUGCGAAGGCAGCUGGCUAGACCUGGAUUGACGCUGAGGCACGAAAGCGUGGGGAGCAAACAGG